UGAAGAUUGCUCUUUGAGUCUCACUUGAGGA
rnacentral:piRNA from 1 species